rnacentral:rRNA from 1 species
AGCAGAUCCCCGGGUGAAUCCUCUCGACGAUGAGUAGCCGGACUGAGAGGUUGAACGGCCACAUUGGGAUUGAGACACGGCCCAGACUCCUACGGGAGGCAGCAGUGGGGGAUAUUGCACAAUGGGGGAAACCCUGAUGCAGCGAUGCCGCGUGGAGGAAGAAGGUUUUCGGAUUGUAAACUCCUGUCGUAAGGGAAGAGAAAGGACUGUACCUUACAAGAAAGCUCCGGCUAACUACGUGCCAGCAGCCGCGGUAAUACGUAGGGAGCGAGCGUUGUCCGGAAUGACUGGGUGUAAAGGGAGCGUAGGCGGGAUGGCAAGUCAGAUGUGAAACCUGAGGGCUCAACCUUCAGACUGCAUUUGAAACUGCUGUUCUUGAGUGAAGUAGAGGUAAGCGGAAUUCCUGGUGUAGCGGUGAAAUGCGUAGAGAUCAGGAGGAACAUCGGUGGCGAAGGCGGCUUACUGGGCUUUUACUGACGCUGAGGCUCGAAAGCGUGGGGAGCAAACAGGAUUAGAUACCCUGGUAGUCCACGCUGUAAACGAUGAUUACUAGGUGUGGGGGGAUUGACCCCUUCCGUGCCGCAGUUUACACAAUAAGUAAUCCACCUGGGGAGUACGACCGCNAGGUUGAAACUCAAAGGAAUUGACGGGGGCCCGCACAAGCAGUGGAGUAUGUGGUUUAAUUCGAAGCAACGCGAAGAACCUUACCAGGUCUUGACAUCGAGUGACGUAUCCCGAGAUGGAUAUUUCCUUCGGGACACAAAGACNGGUGGUGCAUGGUUGUCGUCAGCUCGUGUCGUGAGAUGUUGGGGUUAGUCCCGCAACGAGCGCAACCCUUCUCAUUAGUUGCUACGCGGGAGCACUCUUAUGAGACUGCCGUUUUACAAACGGAGGAGGGUG